rnacentral:snoRNA from 12 species
CGUGGAUGAUGACACCUUGGUAAUGCGGAAAACUCACGAGUGCGCAGUGGGGGAGCCAACCUUGGAGAGCUGAGCGUGCG